UACAGAGGUCUCAAGCGUUGUUCGGAUUCAUUGGGCGUAAAGGGCGCGUAGGCGGCGGGGUAAGUCUGGUGUGAAAUCUAGGAGCUCAACUCCUAAACUGCACUGGAUACUGCUCUGCUAGAGGACUGGAGAGGAGACUGGAAUUCACGGUGUAGCAGUGAAAUGCGUAGAUAUCGUGAGGAAGACCAGUGGCGAAGGCGGGUCUCUGGACAGUUCCUGACGCUGAGGCGCGAAGGCCAGGGGGAGCAAACGGG
rnacentral:rRNA from 1 species